AUGACAGCCAUGACAAGUAAAAGCUGAAAAUCUACUAGGAGAAGGCAGAAAGUCUGGCAAAAACAAGGCAACAGGAUUCUCCCACGACCCCUGCAGCUAGUGACAGUUACCCUUUUAAACCAAUGACCAGGUCAUUGCUUACACGCCAAUAUGAUUUCCAAGUAUUCAGCCAUUUUUGGUAUGGCUAAAUGCCUCUAUUGACCACUAAUCCAUGUCUCUUUCCUGAAAUCUAGGGACAACUGACGAUCACUAGGCCUGAUCAGUUUCUGUCUGUUCCUUAAUGGGCUACUCUGUAGGUUGGCUGUUUUACACUCGUAAUCCUACAUUGCAUUUAUGAACUUGGUUUUUUUUUUUUUUUUAUUCUGUGCUCUCUCUUGUACUCAAGACGAAAAACUACUGUUUGACCUUAUUCCUGUGAAGUGUCAGUCUCAGAAGAAUGGAUGGUCUGGUUCCACAGCCCUUUCAUGGAAGGCCAUUAGCUUUCCCCUCCUCCCUCCGUCUUCCUUCCUCCCCCACUCCCACACUAACUCCUUCCCGUCCUCUCCUUUGUUCUCCCCCUCCUUUUCCUUCCUUUCCUUGUCUCCUCCCAUCUUUUCUGUCUUUGCCUUUUUAAUAGGAACAAUUGAUACACCACUUACAUAUUUAUUUUCCACUUUCUAAGCCCCAAAGGCUCUGGAACCCCCAUGCCCUGUUGCCAACCCAGUCAGCGCAGAAUAGACAGAGUAGGAGCGCCCUCUGCCUUUCGGAACACAACUCCUGUCUAUGUCACCUCACUUUGCCCAGCCGUCCAGGCCCGGGGCCAGCACACACACUUGUAUAGCUCUCUGUUUCAGUCUGUCUCUGCUGCUGACUUAUUUUCCACAUUGUUGUGCGUGUGCUCUGGGGCAGGGUAGAGCCAGCUAGGAGAAUAUAGAUGCUGAGUGUCCUUUUGCCCUUAGCGAUGGCUCUGGGAAAGAUCUUUCCUCUGGAGUUAGCCCGCAGUGACAGCAUCAUCUCCUGUCUGAAGUGAGGCUCUCACAGCUUCUGAAAGCGGGGGCUCACAUGUCUGCCCCUCCCCCCUUCUACCUUCUCCUUGUGCUCUUGAGGCCUUGGUCAAUUUUUACUACUUCUCCUUGCGACUUCUGAAGGCUAUGUUGCUAUAGCAACCCAGGCCCACUGAUCCGUGCUACUUGUUAUCAGGAAGAGGAGCCAUUAGCUGUCUCCAGAGUCCAUUUAAAGAGACUACAAUUACUUCCCACAGAGGGUACGCCACAGUGCCAUUUUAGAGCCCCUGGGGCAGCGAGAGAGGGUCUGAGAGCAGCUGGUCCAAGUUCUUCAAAUUACGGUAAGGGCAGAUAGCAUGCUGCCCAGGCUCACCCAGGAUGACACAGACCAGUGAAUGAUCCUCUCGGCUCUUAACUCUGCAGCCCUCACAGUUAACGCUUCCUUCUGUCUUUGCCUUUGUGGCAUCUCUUGCUACCUCAUGCCUCUCUCCUCCGUGGACCCAGGCUAACAACAGCCAUGUCCUGCUUCAUUCUGUCCAGUUGCUGCUCUCUCCUAGUGGCCAACAAUACCUUUGAAGAGGUCAGUUCCGCCUCCCCGCCCCCUCCUGCUCAGAAGCCCCCAACAGCUUCUGCCAGUGUCUUGUAGCCAGAGGUUGCCUGCAGCUUGGCUGCCUCUUGCCCUCAGCUCCUGCUUGUCCUUUCUAUGCCUGUUCAUCGUGGAUGAUUUCUGCUCUUAGACACCGAGUUCUAUCAUCUUAAACAGCACAUCCUCCUCAUAGUUCCUCCCCAUCCCUGCUGGUACCCUGUUCAGUCAGUCACAGCAAAUGUCCCUAUGUGCACCAUAUGCAUGCACUUUCCUGUGAGAGCUUUGCUUGUGUACCUUUUUC